AUGGCUACACAAAAAGACACAUCUCCAGUUGCGAUAUUGGGGAAAAAGUAUCCCCUCCUAGUAGCGGAGAUCCAGAAAUAUUCAAAAAAGUGGAAUAAGAGAACACGUAAAGCCACGUCACCCUGGCCAUCCGAUGGAACAUUCGACCGAGAGCAGUGUGCAGAGAUGGGAGUGUUAAUAAAAAAUUACAAAAUAAAAGAUAAAUCGGCCAAGCGCGCACAAAAACGAGAGCGAGAGACUGCAAUGCUAAAACUAUUUAUCGACCAGGCCAAAUUGUUGGGGGAGAAAACAGUGGAGCAUGUGAAAAAGCAGCUUGAGCUAAAGAAAAAAGAGAUGAAGAAGGGAGGGAAACCCCCUCCGUACGCUGCACAGAUGCCUGUUCGGGAAAUAAGACUGUUGGGGGACUACUCGCUUAGAUCUGGCAGAUCAGGUAAAAGCAUUUACCCGGUUGAGGAGUUAAAAAAGGUCAGGGAAAGAGAGAUAGAGCUAGAUGACCUAGAGGAGCUGCCCGCCACAUAUGCAAAAGCAGCGCAGCUUGCAGGGAAAGACACUCGCCGCAUUAGUGGAUUGCAUGAUAAAGUAAUGCAGGACAUCAAACAAUCAGAGUGUGCAGAGGACGGCAGCGAGGCCGAAGAGGAAUGUGACGGAGAGAGUACGACUGGGGAAAGCGAGAGGGUCAGGAGGUCACUGGCAGAUGUGGAAUAUUCUAAGCUGCCAGAUCCGAGCAUGGUGUCGACCCCCCGCUAUUUGAAGGAGGGAGCCAAGCCCAAGCAGCCAGGAAUGAAGAAACGAGUGAGUGUGGCUGCAGCGUUUGCUCCCGGGAGUGAGGUGGAGGAAGAGCAUGGAAAGAUGAAUGGAAUCAUCACACUCAGCUCCCAGGGACAGCCAGUGUCUUCAGAAGUGGUGGAGGAAGCGUCAGAGUACCCCCUGCUGGCCAAAGGUGCAAAUCUGCAGUAUGUGCCCUGGCCAACCAUGGACCUGGAGGGGCUGGUACAAAGACUGCCCUGUCUGCAUGAUGGGGCAGGGAAGUGGAUUGCAGCUUUCGAAGAAGAGACCAUCGCCACUAUCCUGGCUAUGGGUGACCUCAAGGCCCUCCUGGGAAAAGUGCUGGGGAAACAGGAAAUGGAGGAAACGCUGAGAGCAGCACAGAUGAACGCGUAUGCUGGAACACAGGCACACGAUGGAGAACUAUUCAAUAGACAUCGCAACGCGCUGUGGACAACCCUGAGACUGCGCUAUCCAACUAGAAUCCAGCCUGACAGCAUUGUGGCAGUGCCAAUAAAGGAUGAUGAGAGCCCACAAGCCUAUGUUCACCUCACACGUAAAGAAUGGAUAAGACAAACAGGUGGAAAGCCUGAUGAGGACAUUUUUCAUAGGCAGGCUCUGAGGAAGAGGAUUGUUGACGGGCUGCCACUCCCGGCACAGAGUAAGCUGAGUGAUGCAGUAGGACUCUACACCAUGCCCUUUGAACAAUUCACAGAUCACGUGAUAGAUGCUGUGACCAAAGUUCGCUCUGCUGUGCUCCAUCAGAAGCAGCAGGACGAGCAGGCAGUGAGAAAGCUGACCCAGCAGCAGCUCACAGAAGGGAAAAAGAAAAUACAAGCUGUGGUCCAACACGCACCCCCACCCCCGGGGGCGGCCCCAGCGGCUGUCCAGCCACAAGUGAUCUAUGUCCAGCCAGACGAAGGGAGAGGAGGCCCAUCCAGAAUGAGAGGAGGGAGCGUGGCUGGCAGAGGCAGAGGAACGGGGGAGAGACGGGGAAAUGCAGUAAAGUGUUACUAUUGUGGAAAAGUUGGGCACAUAAGGCGAUUUUGCUUUGAAUGGAUACGGGCCAUGUCUGGCCAGAACCCACAGGGGGCGGCACGGCAGACGGGACCCACCAGUCCAUGGCGGGGUCCCCCUGCUGGCUACUAG
ensembl:lncRNA